CGUAGAUGGGUGAGAAUCCCAUCCGCCGGAGGGGCUAGGGUUCCUCGACGAUGUUCAUCAGUCGAGGGUUAGUCGGUCCUAAGGUUCCCCCUAACAGGAGGAAUCGAAAGGGAAGCAGGUUAAAAUUCCUGCACCAAUUCACAUUUUGUCCAUUUCCUGACACAUCGGGUCCAGUGGAACACUCUUGUCUGAGUGUUGCCUUCAGCAAUAAAUUUGUGGAGUACCGUAAUGGUGAGAAACAAACUAAGCUGUUGGGAGGCGAAGUAUUUCGCUUCUGCUCUAGCCUGGUGUCCGUGAAAAGGGAUCUGGAGUCGUGUGAGUUGUCCGUACCGAGAUCUGACACAGGUGCCCCUAGGUGAGUAGCCUAAGGCGUCGCGGCAGAAUCCGGGCGAGGGAAUUCGGCAAAUUAGCCCCGUACCUUUGGUAUAAGGGGUGCCAGCUCUGUAGAGAGCUGGUCGCAGUGACUAGGGAGCUCCGACUGUUUACUAAAAACACAGGUGGCUGCUAGUCCGUAAGGAUGAGUAUAGCCGCUGAAUCCUGCCCAGUGGCGGUAUCUGAAACCCGGUUACAACCGGACGAAGGACCGCUAAACGGCGGGGGUAACUAUGACCCUCUUAAGGUAGCGUAAUACCUUGUCGCUUAAUUGGCGACUUGCACGAACGGCCUAACGAGAGCUCUACUGUCCCCGCCCGGAGCCCGAUGAAAUUGACUUACUGGCGCACAGUCCAGUACGUCCCAGCCGCAAGCGAAGACCCCGUGGAGCUUUACUGCAACCUGCCGUUGUGGCACGAGUUGUUAUGUGUAGAGUAGCCGGGAGACAUUACACAGGUGCGAGCGCUAGCUCGUCGCCGAGUCACUGAUGAAACACCGUCCUUUUCGAUUCGUCCCACUCACCUCUUCGGAGGAACCCCGGUAGGCGGGCAGUUUGGGUGGGGCGCCACUCCCUCGAAAAUUUAACAAGGGAGCCCAAAGGUCAGCUUAGGUAGGUCAGGAAUCUACCGUUAAGUGCAAGGGCAAAAGCUGGCUUGACGUGGUUUGGCAACACAACAAACCACGAUGCGAAAGCAGGGCCUAGCGAACCAACCAGCGCCGUUAGUAGGUGCGGUUGAUAACAGAAAAGUUACCCCGGGGAUAACUGAGUUGUCUGGAGCAAGAGCCCACAUCGACCUCCAGGCUUGCUACUUCGAUGUCGUCUCUUCCUAUCCUGGGUGUGCAGAAGCACCCAAGGGUGGGGUUGUUCGCCCAUUAAAAGGGAUCGUGAGAUGGGUUUAGACCGUCGUGAGACAGGUUUGUUGCUAUGUGCUGGGACUGUCCAAUACCUGAGGGGAAGGAUCCUCUAGUACGAGAGGAACGAGGGUUCGCAGCCACUAGUUUACCAGUUGUCUGACAAGGCACCGCUGGGCAGCCACGCUGUAAGGGAUAAGAGCUGAAAGCAUCUAAGCUCGAAACCCGCCUCAAAACGAGGUAUUAUGACACUUAUAGAAGAUAAGUUAGAUAGGACCGGGGUGUAAGCACCGAGAGUAUCAGUGUUACUGGAAACCACUACUUCGGUAGAGGUGAAAGGUGACAC
rnacentral:rRNA from 1 species